rnacentral:rRNA from 1 species
AUAGGGACAACAUUUGAAAUGAAGCUAAACCUGAUAUAAAUGAUUUUAGGCAUCCUAGAUUUAUGAAAGCUAUAUGCUCUGUGAGAGAAGCUUUGCGUCCCAUUAGUAGUUGGAGAGGUAACGGCUCACCAAGGCGAUGAUGGGUAGCCGGCCUGAGAGGGUGAUCGGCCACAAGGGGACUGAGACACGGCCCUUACUCCUACGGGAGGCAGCAGUGGGGAAUAUUGGACAAUGGACCAAGAGUCUGAUCCAGCAAUUCUGUGUGCACGAUGAAGUUUUUCGGAAUGUAAAGUGCUUUCAGUUGGGAAGAAAAAAAUGACGGUACCAACAGAAGAAGUGACGGCUAAAUACGUGCCAGCAGCCGCGGUAAUACGUAUGUCACAAGCGUUAUCCGGAUUUAUUGGGCGUAAAGCGCGUCUAGGUGGUUAUGUAAGUCUGAUGUGAAAAUGCAGGGCUCAACUCUGUAUUGCGUUGGAAACUGUGUAACUAGAGUACUGGAGAGGUAAGCGGAACUACAAGUGUAGAGGUGAAAUUCGUAGAUAUUUGUAGGAAUGCCGAUGGGGAAGCCCGCUUACUGGACAGAUACUGACGCUGAAGCGUGAAAGCGUGGGUAGCAAACAGG